AGAAUCAACGCUGGCGGCGUGCCUAACACAUGCAAGUCGAACGAGAAAGUGGAGCAAUCCAUGAGUAAAGUGGCGCACGGGUGAGUAACACGUGACUAACCUACCUUUUAGUGGGGGAUAACCUAGGGAAACCUGGGCUAAUACCGCAUAAUACCUACGGGUCAAAGCAGCAAUGCGCUGGAAGAGGGGGUCGCGGUCGAUUAGUUAGUUGGCAGGGUAAUGGCCUACCAAGACUGUGAUCGAUAUCCGGCCUGAGAGGGCGCACGGACACACUGGAACUGAAACACGGUCCAGACUCCUACGGGAGGCAGCAGUGGGGAAUUUUGCGCAAUGGGGGAAACCCUGACGCAGCAACGCCGCGUGGAGGAUGAAGUCCCUUGGGACGUAAACUCCUUUCGAUCGGGACGAUAAUGACGGUACCGGAAGAAGAAGCCCCGGCUAACUCGCGCCAGCAGCCGC
rnacentral:rRNA from 1 species